GACGAACGCUGGCGGCGUGCUUAACACAUGCAAGUCGAACGGAAAGGCCCUGCUUUUGUGGGGUGCUCGAGUGGCGAACGGGUGAGUAACACGUGGGUAACCUGCCCUUGACUUUGGGAUAACUUCAGGAAACUGGGGCUAAUACCGGAUAGGAGCUCCUGCUGCAUGGUGGGGGUUGGAAAGUUUCGGCGGUUGGGGAUGGACUCGCGGCUUAUCAGCUUGUUGGUGGGGUAGUGGCUUACCAAGGCUUUGACGGGUAGCCGGCCUGGGAGGGUGACCGGCGACAUUGGGACUGAGAUACGGCCCAGACUCCUACGGGAGGCAGCAGUGGGGAAUAUUGCACAAUGGGCGGAAGCCUGAUGCAGCAACGCCGCGUGCGGGAUGACGGCCUUCGGGUUGUAAACCGCUUUAGCCUGUGACGAAGCGUGAGUGACGGUAAUGGGUAAAGAAGCACCGGCUAACUACGUG
rnacentral:rRNA from 1 species